UACGUAGCAGCGAGCGUUGUUCGGAAUUACUGGGCGUAAAGGGCGCGUAGGCGGCCUGCUAAGUCGAACGUGAAAUCCCCGGGCUCAACCCGGGAACUGCGUCCGAUACUGGUUGGCUUGAAUCCGGGGAGAGGGAUGCGGAAUUCCAGGUGUAGCGGUGAAGUGCGCAGAUAUCGGGAGGAACACCAAUGGCGAAGGCAGCUCGCUGGGACGGGUACUGACGCUGAGACGCGAAAGCGUGGGGAGCAAACAGG
rnacentral:rRNA from 1 species